CACAGCAGGUCAGAGGACAGCCAUCACUACAUCAGUGUGUGUACUGCAGUCAACAGAGCCAUCAGAUAAGAACAAUAGUUCAGCAACUGAGAGACAGA